UACCACAACACCAAGACGACUGUAACCAUCUCCCUGCCUACUAUAAGAGGUGUGCCCGUCUUCUCACCAGACUGGCAGGCAGUCAGCGGUGUACAGAGAGGUAGAAUACCCUGAGCCGAUGAAAGAGAGAAGUGCCUUGAAAAACAACAGGGAAUGGAGAUUGUUGGUUCUGUUCGCACCACAGACUGCCACUGUUUGCAGAGAGCUCACACUCUACUCUACAUUCUAAAUGGUGCAAAUGAAGAGACUUGUUGGACAGAAGAAAAGACAUCCUCAUAGUUCUACUGCCAAAAAACCUUGACGACACAACACGUGGAUACUAGUUUAAGACACUUGGAUUAUAUAUUUCAUACAACAUGACACUCUCUGGAACUGCUUCAGUGGUCAUCGACAUGCCUUCACGUUUUAAUUAGAGUUUUGAAUCAUUUUGCUUUUGGAUUAUGGUUGGAGAUUGGACGGUGGUCUCUGAGCUGUGGUGGUUGUGUGUUGUGGGCCGUGGCUUCAGACUGAAAUAUAUGACAGUAGUCUUGAUCUUCUCUUCAGCUACAUUCCACAAAAGUGAACUAAUCUAAUCCCUAAUGAAAUGACUGAUUGAUCGCCUGGUGAUAAUCUAAACCCGGAUGGAAUGACUGACUGGUAGCCUGGUGAUAAUCUAAACCCUGAUGGAAUGACUGACUGGUAGCCUGGUGAUAAUCUAAACCCRGAUGGAAUGACUGACUGGUAGCCUGGUGAUAAUCUAAACCCUGAUGGAAUGACUGACUGGUAGCCUGGUGGUCUGCAACAGGACUCUCAUGCUACCUCAGCAGGUAUACUCUGGUCCUACUGCAGAAAGUCAACUCUGACAUUUUGGACAUUACGGACACUGCAUGAAGACUAGUGUUGAAAAAUUCCGGUAAAUUUUCCUCAAAUUGCCUUCGGUUUCCAGAAAUCCUGGUUGGAAGAUUGCUGGAAUCAAGCAGGAAAUCUGCGAUUCAUACAAUCAGUUACAGGAAUUUUUCAACCCCAAUGAGGACCAAUCUGAAUUCACUGUCUUUUCUCUACUACUGGCUAAACCUACACAGUGUACUACCGGCUAAACCUACUGCAUGUGGCUCUGGUGCAAAGUAGAUCACUUGCUAGAGAACAGGGUGUAAAUUGGGACUCAUCUCAGUUUGCACCUUAGUCUCUGUAAUAAACCUAAAGAAGCGAACGAUCAUGGCCACCACAGCUCACACCUUGAUGGAGAAUCCAACUGUCUAAACAUGAAUGUGUCACGUCAUAUAUACAUAUAUAUUUAUAUAUUCAACAAAUUGUCUUUUUUUGCACAUUGUGUUUAUAGUUACCUUCUAGUGUGUACUAUGUAAAUAUUGUAAAUACUAAAUAUAUAUGAAGUAUAUAUACAGUGCCAGUCAAAACUUUUGACACAC